UACGUAGGGGGCAAGCGUUGUCCGGAUUUACUGGGCGUAAAGAGCGUGUAGGCGGCCAAGCAGGUCCGUUGUGAAAACUGGAGGCUUAACCUCCAGACGUCGACGGAAACCGCGUGGCUAGAGUCCGGAAGAGGAGAGUGGAAUUCCUGGUGUAGCGGUGAAAUGCGUAGAGAUCGGAAAGAACACCAGUGGCGAAGGCGUCGACCUGGGUCUAAACUGACACUGAGGUGCGAAAGCGUGGGGAGCAAACAGG
rnacentral:rRNA from 1 species